UCAGAAGUGCGAAUGCUGACAUAAGUAACGAUAAAGCGGGUGAAAAGCCCGCUCGCCGGAAGACCAAGGGUUCCUGUCCAACGUUAAUCGGGGCAGGGUGAGUCGACCCCUAAGGCGAGGCCGAAAGGCGUAGUCGAUGGGAAACGGGUUAAUAUUCCCGUACUUGGUGUUACUGCGAAGGGGGGACGGAGAAGGCUAUGUUGGCCGGGCGACGGUUGUCCCGGUUUAAGCGUGUAGGUGUGUGUUCCAGGUAAAUCCGGUUCACUUUAACACUGAGGCGUGACGACGAGGCACUACGGUGCUGAAGCAACAAAUGCCCUGCUUCCAGGAAAAGCCUCUAAGCAUCAGGUAACACGAAAUCGUACCCCAAACCGACACAGGUGGUCAGGUAGAGAAUACCAAGGCGCUUGAGAGAACUCGGGUGAAGGAACUAGGCAAAAUGGUGCCGUAACUUCGGGAGAAGGCACGCUGACACGUAGGUGAAGUGAUUUACUCAUGGAGCUGAAGUCAGUCGAAGAUACCAGCUGGCUGCAACUGUUUAUUAAAAACACAGCACUGUGCAAACACGAAAGUGGACGUAUACGGUGUGACGCCUGCCCGGUGCCGGAAGGUUAAUUGAUGGGGUCAGCGUAAGCGAAGCUCCUGAUCGAAGCCCCGGUAAACGGCGGCCGUAACUAUAACGGUCCUAAGGUAGCGAAAUUCCUUGUCGGGUAAGUUCCGACCUGCACGAAUGGCGUAAUGAUGGCCAGGCUGUCUCCACCCGAGACUCAGUGAAAUUGAACUCGCUGUGAAGAUGCAGUGUACCCGCGGCAAGACGGAAAGACCCCGUGAACCUUUACUAUAGCUUGACACUGAACAUUGAGCCUUGAUGUGUAGGAUAGGUGGGAGGCUUUGAAGUGUGGACGCCAGUCUGCAUGGAGCCGACCUUGAAAUACCACCCUUUAAUGUUUGAUGUUCUAACGUGGACCCGUAAUCCGGGUUGCGGACAGUGUCUGGUGGGUAGUUUGACUGGGGCGGUCUCCUCCUAAAGAGUAACGGAGGAGCACGAAGGUUGGCUAAUCCUGGUCGGACAUCAGGAGGUUAGUGCAAUGGCAUAAGCCAGCUUGACUGCGAGCGUGACGGCGCGAGCAGGUGCGAAAGCAGGUCAUAGUGAUCCGGUGGUUCUGAAUGGAAGGGCCAUCGCUCAACGGAUAAAAGGUACUCCGGGGAUAACAGGCUGAUACCGCCCAAGAGUUCAUAUCGACGGCGGUGUUUGGCACCUCGAUGUCGGCUCAUCACAUCCUGGGGCUGAAGUAGGUCCCAAGGGUAUGGCUGUUCGCCAUUUAAAGUGGUACGCGAGCUGGGUUUAGAACGUCGUGAGACAGUUCGGUCCCUAUCUGCCGUGGGCGCUGGAGAACUGAGGGGGGCUGCUCCUAGUACGAGAGGACCGGAGUGGACGCAUCACUGGUGUUCGGGUUGUCAUGCCAAUGGCACUGCCCGGUAGCUAAAUGCGGAAGAGAUAAGUGCUGAAAGCAUCUAAGCACGAAACUUGCCCCGA
rnacentral:rRNA from 1 species